rnacentral:misc_RNA from 1 species
GAUGAGAACGUAGCGAAAUGCGAUAAGUAAUGUGAAUUGCAGAAUUCAGUGAAUCAUCGAAUCUUUGAACGCACAUUGCGCCCAUUAGUAUUCUAGUGGGCAUGCCUGUUCGAGCGUCAUUUCAACCCUCAAGCUCUCUUGCUUGGUGUUGGGGCUUCUGCGGCUUCGGCCGCAGGCCCUGAAAAACAGUGGCGGGCUCGCUAUAACUCCGAGCGUAGUAAUCUCUCUCGCUUUGGAAGUGUGGCGGUUCCCGGCCGUUAAACCCCCCAAUUUCUGAAUGUUGACCUCGGAUCAGGUAGGAAUACCCGCUGAACUUAAGCAUAUCAAUAAGCGGAGGA